rnacentral:rRNA from 1 species
GAUGAACGCUAGCUACAGGCUUAACGCAUGCAAGUCGAGGGGUAGCAGGGUAGCAAUACCGCUGACGACCGGCGCACGGGUGAGUAACACGUAUCCAACCUUCCCAUAACUCGGGGAUAGCCUUUCGAAAGAAAGAUUAAUACCCGAUAGUACUUAUAUAGGGCAUCCUACAUAAGUUAAAGAUUUAUUGGUUAUGGAUGGGGAUGCGUUCCAUUAGAUAGUUGGUGAGGUAACGGCUCACCAAGUCUUCGAUGGAUAGGGGUUCUGAGAGGAAGGUCCCCCACAUUGGUACUGAGACACGGACCAAACUCCUACGGGAGGCAGCAGUGAGGAAUAUUGGUCAAUGGGCGAGAGCCUGAGCCAGCCAAGUAGCGUGAAGGAUGAGGGUCCUAUGGAUUGUAAACUUCUUUUAUAGUAGAAUAAAGUGAUCCACGUGUGGAUUUUUGUAUGUAUACUAUGAAUAAGGAUCGGCUAACUCCGUGCCAGCAGCCGCGGUAA